rnacentral:misc_RNA from 1 species
ACAUAUUUUCCAUCCACGCGUCUUGGGGAAGCGUUAACGUGACCCCUCUCCUCAUUUACUUGUGGGGAGGGGACUCGGACACCCUUCUCUCUCUAAAGAGACACAUUAUUUUAACUUUAAAAACCUUUGACAAUACAACAACCUCGAGUUCUCACUUUGUGAGAGAGCUUGUAUUUCAACACAAUCAAUUUUUGUUUGAAAAA